CACCUGUGUCAGACAGGAGGGGUGAGGUUGACGUGAGGGAGGAAACCCACUAUCCAGACGGCAAGAUAGAAUGCCUCUUCACAAGUGGCCGGCGCACCGUCACAUUUCGCAAUGGAACAAAAAAGGAGAUUUCGGCAGAUGGGAAAUCGGUCACAGUGACCUUCUUCAACGGCGAUGUCAAGCAGAUCCUGGCUGAUGAGAAAGUGGUUUAUUAUUAUUCUGAUGCCCAGACAACUCAUACUACUUAUCCAGAUGGUCUUGAAGUCCUGCAAUUUCCAAACAAUCAGACUGAGAAACAUCACCCCAGUGGUAAAAGGGAGAUCAUUUUCCCAGAUCAGACGAUCAAGC